GCUGAAGAUAGACAGGAAAGGGGGAAAGAGAGGGGAUGGCACACAGCAAAGGACCACAGUUCAGAUUCAAUCCAUGGCCACUGCAGCAAGGACUCUUGGUACAUUGGGUGCCAGUUUUACCAGGGAAUGUGAACUAAGAUGUCCCUUUACAGAGGGGCCAUGUACACAGCUUACUCUAACCUGUCAGGGCAGUUUUCUGGAAAUGGAUGGGAACUUGACUAUUGUCGGGGCAGUUACCAGGAUGUCACAGUUUCCCCAACCUGGACUAUAUGGAUUUGGUUGCCCUAACUUAACCAGACCUUCACCAUAGAUGUGGUGGAUUAAAAAACUUACAAACUGUUUUCUGAACAUCAAUUUUAGAAGCAGCUUAUUUUGUUGUGUAGCACUUGCUGGUUAGUUGGUGCAGCUAGUUACACAGGAUUAGGGUAGUUUAUUGAGGCCAAAAAAUUUUUUGUCUGAAAACACAAAUCCAUAUU